rnacentral:rRNA from 1 species
UACGUAGGGUGCAAGCGUUAAUCGGAAUUACUGGGCGUAAAGCGUGCGCAGGCGGUUAUGUAAGACAGGUGUGAAAUCCCCGGGCUUAACCUGGGAACUGCAUUUGUGACUGCAUAGCUAGAGUACGGUAGAGGGGGAUGGAAUUCCGCGUGUAGCAGUGAAAUGCGUAGAUAUGCGGAGGAACACCGAUGGCGAAGGCAAUCCCCUGGACCUGUACUGACGCUCAUGCACGAAAGCGUGGGGAGCAAACAGGAU